rnacentral:rRNA from 1 species
AUAGGGGAGCCGGAGGGAAACCGAGUCUUAACCGGGCGUUAAGUUGCAGGGUAUAGACCCGAAACCCGGUGAUCUAGCCAUGGGCAGGUUGAAGGUUGGGUAACACUAACUGGAGGACCGAACCGACUAAUGUUGAAAAAUUAGCGGAUGACCUGUGGCUGGGGGUGAAAGGCCAAUCAAACCGGGAGAUAGCUGGUUCUCCCCGAAAGCUAUUUAGGUAGCGCCUCGUGAAUUCAUCUCCGGGGGUAGAGCACUGUUUCGGCUAGGGGGCCAUCCCGGCUUACCAACCCGAUGCAAACUGCGAAUACCGGAGAAUGUUAUCACGGGAGACACACGGCGGGUGCUAACGUCCGUCGUGAAGAGGGAAACAACCCAGACCGCCAGCUAAGGUCCCAAAGUCAUGGUUAAGUGGGAAACGAUGUGGGAAGGCCCAGACAGCCAGGAUGUUGGCUUAGAAGCAGCCAUCAUUUAAAGAAAGCGUAAUAGCUCACUGGUCGAGUCGGCCUGCGCGGAAGAUGUAACGG